GGUUCUCAAUUUUUCUGUGCUGACAUCUGUCACCCCAUUGAUCACCAAGGUUGAUUCGGCUGAUCUAGCUGGUUAACCAAGUGUCCCCUUACUCCCUCACUAUGCCAUGUGUGUCCCUCCUGAAGCAGUGUACUCAGCCAAAGAAGAUAACCUUCUCCAAAAAAGAGGACAGUUCUUCAGUCAAGAGUAUACAAGUAGCUGUGUUCCCCUGCUAGAAACUUCAAACAAGUUAUCAUUCAUUUUUAAGGAUUGCUUUCCUGUACACAGAAUUGUGGAUUAACAGUUUUCCUUUGAAAUGCUUUGAAUAUGU
rnacentral:snRNA from 1 species